rnacentral:lncRNA from 1 species
UCCGCCGCCCUCCUCCCGCCUCCAACACCAUCCUCGUACGGCACGACCGCCCCCUCGCCGACGUGCUCGUGCGGCAUGACCGCCCCCUCGCCGACCUGGUCUGCGCCGGCGGCGGCGGACUCGACAGGCGACAUGGGGCACCCAAGCUGAGGCCCAAGCCGAGGUAGGGUCGCUUACCUAGAAGCAGUCCAAGUCCAGAUGAGCGGAUCUCCGCUCCGCCCCCAGUCCAGCGAGUAGAACGGAGGAGAACGACGACCCACCAGGUAUAAUCCCACCUCGCCAAUUUACAACCAAAAUUGCGGGCUUAAAACCUGAGAUGCGGAUGCGGGUAAUGUCACCCGAGGAACGGAAGAGUGAGGGAUUGGACUAAGUGAUGGAUUCGGCAAAAUCUUUGGGGGAAGCUGUUGUCGCGGCGCAGAAGGUUGUGGAGAUGUGCUCGAGGCGGAGGUGGAUGACGGAGGCGCGGAAGGGAGGGUGGCGGCGACAGCUCAAGUUUUCGGUAAUCAACCCGCAAUCCUAUUCCCUUCCGCGGAGACGGGCGGUGGCCGCACCGACCGCGGAGACGGGCGCGGGCAUCCAGACGGUUGCGUCUUCCGUGGAGACGGGCGGUGGCCGCACCGACUGCGGAGACAAGCGGGGGGGGGGGCAUCUAGACGGCCGCGUCCUGCUUGACGGCGUGGACGGCGGUAGUGAGCGGGCGGCGGAAGCGGCGGCGUAGGAUGGGGAGCCCCCGCAUCGGGAGCGGGGAGGCCGUGGAGCAGGAGUGGCGCCGACUGCUCCUCGUCAAGAUUCUCGUGACGGAUUUGUUUCCUCCCCUUUUCAGAGGAUGAGGCCGAGACGCGAAGCACUUUGCAGGCCUUGCGUGGCGCGGACACGCGUCUCCGGCUAUUCCAGAUGGACCUUUCUGGAUCCUGCUUCCGGCCGGC